CCUACGGGAGGCAGCAGUGGGGAAUCUUGCGCAAUGGGGGCAACCCUGACGGAGCAACGCCGCGUGAUUGAAGAAGGCCUUCGGGUCGUAAAGAUCUUUAAUCGGGGACGAAUUUGCACGGUACCCAAAGAAUACGCUCCGGCUAACUACGUGCAAGCAGCCGCGGUAAUCCGUAGGGAGCAAGCGUUAUCCGGAUGUACUGGGUGUAAGGGGCGGGUAGGCGGGCAUUCAAGACAGAAGUGAAAUCUGGGGGCUUAACCCACGAACUGCUUUUGGAACUGCGUGUCUUGAGUGAUGGAGAGGCAGGCGGAAUUCCAAGUGUAGCGGUGAAAUGCGUAGAUAUUGGGAGGAACACCAGUGGCGAAGGCGGCCUGCUGGACAUUAACUGACGCUGAGGCGCGAAAGCGUGGGGAGCAAACAGGAUUAGAUACCCUAGUAGUC
rnacentral:rRNA from 1 species